CACUCCUGCUCUUUUCUUUAUGCUGCCUGGCAGUAGCUGUCUAUAUGAAGAAUUUAUGCAAAGCAGUGCAACUGUUUUAGCCUGUGCUUUGAUGCUCAUCUGGGGUGAGAUAUGAAGAGUAGCAGUGGAGGAGUAUCUGUAAAGGUAGUUUAUGAGCAAUGCUGAUUACGGGGAGUGAGCAAGAACCUGAGGUCCCCAGUUACACUUAAAGAGCAACUCAGAGGACCUAUGUCAAGUGCAUGCACACGUACAUUGAAGAAUUAUCCCACUAAGGAAAUACCAACCAGACCUCAAGCAGACAGUCCAUCGGCCGUCAUCAGAGCUGGAAGACAGUUUUGGAGUAGGAUUAUUUCAGAAACCAUGCCUGGUCAGAGACAGAAGCUUACAAAAUUAGCCCUGUAAUUUCCUUUCAUGACAACUUUCAUAACCAUUUUAGCAUCUAUAAAGUAAAUGCUGACAACAAACUUAAGCUCAUUACAAAUGGCUAUAUUUAAUGGCCUGAUUAUAUGGACAUAUCUGACUCUUAGUAAUACCAUGAAAGAAAUGCAUUGUAGAUAUUGAUUGCUGGAGAAAUUAUGAGUCAUUUCCUCUGAUGGAGUGCUUGUGCCAAUGGAGGUUAGGAUGCCCAAGGGGCUGUUUUAGGUUAAAAAAUGGAAACAGAAAGGGAGGGUGCCUGUAGUGUGGCAAUGAUUUCCAUUCAGAAAACAUCUUCACAAGGUAUCUUGUCUUUGAAUAGAAAAGGAGUCACAUCCUUUUUACUGCAGAACUUGGAGGAUAAGAAAUCAAGGUUAAAAAUGUCUAAAGAGGGCAAGAUUCUACACAUCUGAAGGCUUCGUAAUAUUAUAUAUACUUGAAAGAACAAAUCCUGGAUUAGAUUUAACUGUUGCAAGAAGUAUGAUAUGUAAUAGCCUUUAAAUAUGGUUUGAUCUGGGACCACCAAAAUGAUGUGAAUGUUCUGUGCUGCUUUCGUCUCAAGAAGUGAUUUUCACAGGUAAAUAACACAUUUGGGACCUGCUUUCUUGUGUCAAUUAAAGCCGAACUUUUGAACUGGUGCAUGAGAAAAUAAAGCAGGGUGGAAAACUGCCCUGCAGAUGCUGUCAGAGAAAUCAGCUCAAUUCUGGGUCUUUCAAGGAUGCUGAAAACAAGUAGCGAAGCUUCAAGUGGUGAUCCAAUAAGCACUUGAGAACAAAGCAGCUCCUCGAUCCAGACCAGAGGACAGGGAUUUUGUUGUAAACCAAGCCCUGCUGCUGAAGUUGCAGGAUGAGCUCACAGCGCAAAGCCGUGCGGUGGGUAGCAGGAGGUCAGCGAUGCCACGUGCCCGCAGGAGAAGGCUAAGCUGCACGAGCCCCCAGUUGUACUGCUGUCAGCCUCUUAAUUACCAACAUUAUGGCAACAGGGCUUUCUGCAGAGUGGGCAAGGGGGAGGGGAAGUCAUCUUUUGUUGUUCCUGAAAGCAGGAGGAUGGAAUUAAAUGCAAGGCUGGCCUUUUGGUUAACGGUUUCAACUGAGGCCCAGGAGAUCGGUUUUCAUUUCCUAUUGGCCACGGAUCUCCUAGGUGGAAGCACAAGGCACAUCCUAAAGCUGAUUUCUGAAUGUGUUUGGCCAACUUGCCUGUCUUUGCCUCACCUGUUUAGGCAGGAUGCUGCCCUGAGCAGGGGCUGCCUUUCACUGUGCUUUUAUCAAGCACUCAGUUUGGUUCUCCUGAGUGCUUCACUAAAACAACAACUUUAGAAAACACAAAUUUUAUAUUGGUAAUCCUCAGCAAGAGUAAGAAUAGACAGAAAUACGUAGUAAUAGAAAGGAAGAUGCUGAAUCACACCGUUUGGCCAAUACUGCUAAUGGACUGCAGUGACAUCCCCACAAAGUAACUUGCAUUUAGGUGUUAGGGGAUGUUUAUCCUCUUCGUGAGAGUUAACAAAAUAUCUUAUCCCCAAGGGACAAACUGACUGCUAAAAAAUAUUAUAUGCAAAAUCAAUUUCCAUUCUGGGUAGAAACAUGUUCUUUUUGUCUUUAAGCACAUGCAAAGCUUUGGCACUCUGGAUUGUGCCACUUGCUUUCUCUAAGUUAUCAAGAAGGUAAAUCAUCCCAGUUGCAAGGAAGUAACCUUUUCUGUUUGGCUUUUUAUUUUUUAAUGAAGUUGGUGAGGACACGUUCAAAGCUCUAAAUAGAAGCUCUCGGAUAUUUGUCAGGAUUUUUGAGGGCAACACAUGACUAGAGAGGUACCAGGUCUCUCUCAGGUCAUGUAAUAUGCUGAGAUGGCUUGCAUGCAUCUUAUAACCUCUGGCCUCAAUUGUCUUAUGCUUUUCUAUUUAGAAAUCCGUUUAUAUAGGGGGAAAAAGAAGCCACCCCUGCAGAGGCUAGCAUAACUCUGCUAAAUGCAGGCUCUUUCUCCAUUUAUCCCACCUGACUAGGAUCUCCAAGUCAUCGGAGAGGAUUCUGACUGCUAGGAAGUAUUCCUUUCUUUCCCCUCUGAUAAUAAGCACGGCCCUUCUCCAAGAAGAGCCAGCGCCGCUGUGCAGGUGGUAGACAUCUGCAGAAGAAAUGCAUCAUCCUCCAUCAUCUGCUAUUACUCAUGUUACUACUAUCGGCACAGAGCCAUUUAUGUGUUACCUAACAACCACCUCAUUAGGGAUGAAACUUCCUUCUGCGAAAAGAACUAGCACCGCACAUCCAAGACAUGGCUCUAAUCCUAUUUUGGGGCCUUGAUUAGCAUUUAUGCUAGCCUAAGCCCUUUCACUUCGAGGUAUAGAGAUAUCAGCUGCCGCAGCUAUUAAUGUGAAAUGCUUCAUAAAACAGACAAUGCCCUCCAAAGGAAUGAAGUGCCUGUCGACAUCCUUCCAACCAGGUGAUUAUUUAAUAUUAUGUUAACUUGGAUCCAAGAUUUACAUUACAAGAAGAGCGGUGAUAAAAACUGGCUUUGAAAAGCAAGUGAAGAUUCAUCAGACCAACCUUUGGAAGUCAUAAUCUGGGUUGAAUAUGCAACAGCUGCAGUGGCAUCACUGGUGAUUCUCUAAGUGGUUUUGGCCCCUGCACAUCCCACCAGGCUGAUUAUAGCAAGGACUGCAAUACUAAUGGGGUACUGAAGGGUUUCAUUGUUGGACUUCGUCAUUCUGCAUGGGCAAUUACCUAAAUGUGCCUAUCAAAAACAGUCAGAUGUGAAUCCAGGAUGUCUUGAUCCUGUCUUUAUUACUGACGAGGAGUAUAAAUUCAGUUCAAGAACAAUGAUCCUGCCUUGCCAGCAAGGGUUUCUCAGGAUGUUUUCUUUCUCACUGCAUUUCAGCA